rnacentral:misc_RNA from 1 species
GUUUGCUUUUAUGAUGUAUCAUCUAAGGCUGCCAAUCAAUGGUAUGGUCAAGGCUCCCUCGGCGGCAAGGCGAGUGCGCGAGCACCGCACCGAGCUGCACGAGGGAACGCAAACGUUUACACAGGGUGUGUUGUAGAUUUGUUAAUGAUCCUUCCGCAGGUUCACCUACGGAAA